rnacentral:rRNA from 1 species
AGCGAACGCUGGCGGCAGGCUUAACACAUGCAAGUCGAGCGGGCCCUUCGGGGUCAGCGGCAGACGGGUGAGUAACACGUGGGAACGUACCCUUUGGUUCGGAAUAACGCUGGGAAACUAGCGCUAAUACCGGAUACGCCCUUUUGGGGAAAGGCUUGCUGCCGAAGGAUCGGCCCGCGUCUGAUUAGCUAGUUGGUGGGGUAAUGGCCUACCAAGGCGACGAUCAGUAGCUGGUCUGAGAGGAUGAUCAGCCACACUGGGACUGAGACACGGCCCAGACUCCUACGGGAGGCAGCAGUGGGGAAUAUUGGAAAAUGGGCGCAAGCCUGAUCCAGCCAUGCCGCGUGAGUGAUGAAGGCCUUAGGGUUGUAAAGCUCUUUUGUCCGGGGCGAUAAUGACGGUACCGGAAGAAUAAGCCCCGGCUAACUUCGUG